AUUUUAUCAACGCAUCGAACCAAACAAGUCCUGCAAUAUGUGCGUAAAUGAACGUCAGGGUCAUAGCAUUAGUUGACGCCAUAGAAUGCUGGGCUAUGCGUGAAAAGAUGAUUUGAGGCAAAAUUUGGGAUUGGGUUUAAAAGAACAAAAACUUCAAUGGAAGAAAGAAAGAAAGGUGAAGACAAAGUUUUUUUUGUGAGAAUUCGCUACACAACUGCAAGUCGUAUAGAGACAAUUUAUCCUCAAGGAUUCCAAGUCUUCAUUGAGAAGUUCAUACUGUCAUACUGCCAUGUCAUUUGGAAAAGCUGGAUUAAUAGACAUAUUUUCAAGAUUUUUAUUGUCAACAAAGAAAUCAGUGAACUGGUCAUCAUGGUGGUUGUUAAUUGCUACUUGAAGGAGCUGGUUAUUGACAUCAUCAAUGUUGUUAGAAUGCUGCAGAUGCUCGUGGCUCGGGUGGUUAGUAAAGAACACGCCAUCACUUACACAGCUAGUAAUGCUACUUUCUUGAGAGAAAUAGUGAAAGUUAUUGUUAGCUUCUUGAUGAUCAUCAGCUAAUUGUGGAUGAUCAGUCCCAUAGCUUGAGCCAGCAUUAUCGCUAGCAUUCGUUGAGAACAUGCCAUGAUCACCAUGCAAUUGAAGCAUGAAAUCUGCAGUUUCAGUACUUGAGAAUAAUUUGCUCAAUGACUCCCAUUCUUCAUCAAAAAAAGCUCCCACAUGCUCCAUUUCUUUUUUGGU